CCGGAAGUGCCUGUCGCUUGGAGACGGAGUGACUCCAAACGGGCUCACACGGUUUUCUGAGAAACAUAAAGGGAAACCGAAUCCACCAAUAUAUAUAUAUAUUUUCUUGAGACGGCGUCUCGCUCUGUCACCCAGGCUGGAGUGCAGUGGCGUGAUCUCGGCUCACUGCAAACUCCGCCUCCCGGGUUGACGCCAUUCUUCUGCCUCAGCCUCCCGAGUAGCUGGGACUACAGGCGCCCGCCGCCACGCCCGGCUAAUUUUUUUGUAUUUUAGUAGAGACGGGGAGUCACCGUGUUGCCCAGGCUGGUCGCGAACUCCUGAGCUCAGGCAAUCCGCCCGCCUUGGCCUCCCAAAGUGCUAGGAUUACAGGCGUGAGCCACCGCGCCCGGCCCACCAAUACUCAAUUGGUUUGACUUCAGUUGAGGAAACCAGAAAAAAUUUAAAUAUAUUUAUGGAAAGAAGCUAUUGGGAGAGUGGCUGAGUACUGAGUCUAUCACUACUUGGAUGAUACAGCUUCUGUCUUCAAGAUAAGCAGAAUUGUUCAGAAUCCACUGGAAUCCAAAUUCAACUUGGGCCUCAAUUUCUGCAGAUGGACACCUCUGGACUCCAAAAAAUCCAAGGACAUAAAAAACUUAAGCAGCCUUUAUUACAUUUAGUUCAACAAGUUUAAAGUAGUCUAAAACCAGCCUCUGCCUGAUCAAACUAGAAGGCCAGAAACAGAGGGCAGCUGAAGGAAACAGCUCACUCAAGAUGCCAACCAGGCCUCUGUUCAUGCCAUCAUGGAUAAGAUCUAUUUUUGAGGGUCUAAUUAAGUUAAGAACUAUAAUUGUAUGUAUGUUGGGAUUCCUUUUCCUUCUUGUCAAGGUACAGAUGGAGCAGAGCUAUCUUGUAUGUCAGUAGCCCCACUCAUGCAUUCUUUGUACUCAGACCUGCGUGACUUGAAAGCAUGAAGUAGCUAGAAUGGUCAUCACCCCACUUCCCUCAAGAUUGAGGAGUGCACAAAAAGGGGGGUACCUGUAACUGUGGGACCAGCUCAAACAAAUUAACCAUUUCUUAAGUUGUUGCAGGUACACACACAGCCAAAAUUGCCUUGGCACAUGCAAUGCAAAAAGCUUUAAUUUCUAAUUGUUAUCAUCACCAGCCUGACAGGCCUGCAUUGGCAUCAUCUGGGUCUAGCUGGAAAUGCCAUAAAAUCUUGACCCACCCCAAUCACAGAGACAGAUCUGAGCAUUGCCUCUUGUCUCCUUGCCAGUUGACUUGGUAUAAAGCUUUUUUUUUUUCUUCCUCAAAAGAGGGAACCAUAAUGUUGGCUUCUGUGCAUGUUGUAAAGUAAGCCUAUUGCUCAGUAACAAAUAUAUCUUUCCAUUUUUUCUUUUUUCUUUUUUUUUUUGAGAUGGAGUCUCGCUCUGUCACCCACGCUGGAGUACAGUGGCGCAAUCUCGGCUCACUGCAAGCUCUGCCUCCCGGGUUCACGCCAUUCUCCUGCCUCAGCCUCCCAAGUAGCUGGGACUAUAGGCGCCCGCCACCACUGCCAGCUAAUUUUUUGUAUUUUUAGUAGAGAUGGGGUUUCACCAUGUUAGCCAGGAUGGUCUCGAUCUCAUGACCUCGUGAUCCACCUGCUUCAGCCUCCCAAUGUUAGCCAGGAUGGUCUCGAUCUCAUGACCUCGUGAUCUACCUGCUUCGGCCUCCCAAAGUGCUGGGAUUACAGGCGUGAGCCACCAUGCCCG
rnacentral:lncRNA from 1 species